UACGUAGGGACCAAGCGUUGUUCGGAUUUACUGGGCGUAAAGGGCGCGUAGGCGGCGUGGUAAGUCACUUGUGAAAUCUCCGAGCUUAACUCGGAACGGUCAAGUGAUACUGCUGUGCUAGAGUACAGAAGGGGCAAUCGGAAUUCUUGGUGUAGCGGUGAAAUGCGUAGAUAUCAAGAGGAACACCUGAGGUGAAGACGGGUUGCUGGGCUGAUACUGACGCUGAGGCGCGAAAGCUAGGGGAGCAAACGGG
rnacentral:rRNA from 1 species